rnacentral:rRNA from 1 species
UGGGGAAUAUUGGACAAUGGGCGAAAGCCUGAUCCAGCCAUGCCGCGUGUGUGAAGAAGGUCUUCGGAUUGUAAAGCACUUUAAGUUGGGAGGAAGGGCAGUAAGCGAAUACCUUGCUGUUUUGACGUUACCGACAGAAUAAGCACCGGCUAACUCUGUGCCAGCAGCCGCGGUAAUACAGAGGGUGCAAGCGUUAAUCGGAAUUACUGGGCGUAAAGCGCGCGUAGGUGGUUCGUUAAGUUGAAUGUGAAAGCCCCGGGCUCAACCUGGGAACUGCAUCCAAAACUGGCGAGCUAGAGUAGGGCAGAGGGUGGUGGAAUUUCCUGUGUAGCGGUGAAAUGCGUAGAAAUAGGAAGGAACACCAGUGGCGAAGGCGACCACCUGGGCUCAUACUGACACUGAGGUGCGAAAGCGUGGGGAGCAAACAAG